GUUGGGGCCGGCUAUUCGGCGAUUACGCAAAAGUGUGAUAUAUCAAAUGUUAUCGAUCACGUUCUUUCGGAUGAUCUCGAUCUCGUUUUUCUCAACCGUCAACUUGACUGGCGUCGCGUCGCGUGGCUCCGGAGUGAAGUUGCCGUCGCGUCGUUUUCGGAGCACGGAUCUCGCGGCGACCGCGACGCGACGGUUGCUCCCGGCGAAACGGCGAGUGAAGUUGGCCGCGUGAUUUGCGAAAUUAUCUCCGCCAUGUUGUCGUCCACCUGCGGGACAUCCGUGGACGGGCCGCGAGCGUCAGGUGGAUCGUACAGUUUCGUUCGUAGCUUCUCCGCCGUGAUUCUCCCGUCACCGUGUAAAAAAGUACGCGUCGCGUCGCGAGAUUAAUACCGGGAGUGCCGUGCAAAUGUCGCGCGAUCAUAAGCGUCGUUAUUUUCGUGCCUGAACGAUAUUUUCGUGAGUGAGUGCGACGGACGGACGACCGAAAAGGGGAGGAGGAGGAGGAGGCCAGGGAGGCAUCGGGUAACGGCGGAGCGACAGUGGGAUCAACGCCAGGGUUUCAAACUCCGCUGCUGCGCAUCGGCCGGAUGCACACGCGAUUCCUUGAGAUCCUGGCCUCCCUUUCCCGAGGAGUCUCAGGUGAGCCCGAUCCCGGAAGCUGCGAAGGGAGAAUGGGCUGCGCGCGGUUGCGGGCGGCUCGUCGAUCA